rnacentral:rRNA from 1 species
UACGUAGGUGGCAAGCGUUGUCCGGAUUUACUGGGCGUAAAGAGCGCGCAGGCGGUCGUUCAAGUCGCGUGUGAAAGCCCCCGGCUCAACUGGGGAGGGUCACGCGAUACUGAUCGACUCGAAGGCAGGAGAGGGUAGUGGAAUUCCCGGUGUAGUGGUGAAAUGCGUAGAUAUCGGGAGGAAUACCGGUGGUGAAGACGGCCAACUGGCUCGACAUUGACGCUGAGACUCGAAAGCGUGGGGAUCAAACAGG